rnacentral:misc_RNA from 1 species
CAUUUUGUAUGUGAACUUUUCAUCCAAAUUCAAUAUCAGUAGCAUUUAUUCCUCAGAUGUUUGCCAUGCAAACUCCCCACCCCCUUUCUUUCUAGUAUCUAACUCGUCAAAUCUGAUUUCUCGCUAGUAUAUGUUUUUGCAAAUGAAAUUGGAUAUAUAUUUAAUGUGACUGAAUACUGUUAUGUUUGAAUAAAAAAAGUUAUAAUUUU